rnacentral:rRNA from 1 species
UACUCCUACGGGAGGCAGCAGUGAGGAAUAUUGGUCAAUGGGCGAGAGCCUGAACCAGCCAAGUAGCGUGCAGGAUGACGGCCCUAUGGGUUGUAAACUGCUUUUAUGUGGGGAUAAAGUGAGCUACGUGUAGUUUAUUGCAGGUACCACAUGAAUAAGGACCGGCUAAUUCCGUGCCAGCAGCCGCGGUAAUACGGAAGGUCCAGGCGUUAUCCGGAUUUAUUGGGUUUAAAGGGAGCGUAGGCCGUGGAUUAAGCGUGUUGUGAAAUGUAGACGCUCAACGUCUGAAUUGCAGCGCGAACUGGUUCACUUGAGUAUGCACAACGUAGGCGGAAUUCGUCGUGUAGCGGUGAAAUGCUUAGAUAUGACGAAGAACUCCGAUUGCGAAGGCAGCUUACGGGAGCACAACUGACGCUGAAGCUCGAAGGUGCGGGUAUCAAACAGGAUUAGAUACCCUGGUAGUCCGCACAGUAAACGAUGGAUGCCCGUUGUUAGUUCACUUUAGAAUUAGCGACCAAGCGAAAGCAUUAAGCAUCCCACCUGGGGAGUACGCCGGCAACGGUGAAACUCAAAUGAAUUGACGGA